GAGUAGCGAGUGACAGGACCACUGCUCAGGCUCAGAGGCCAUGGGGUGAAGUGCACAAAAAAGUGGGCGUCCAGCCAUGCUCUAAGUCCCCCGAAGAUGAAGACCAGGGAGCAGCUUCCUCCAAUGAAGCAGCAGCAAUCAGAGGACCAGGAGGCUGAAGCCCUGAGCCCAGCCAGAGGCAGGAUCAGCCAAGUCUGGGACAGGCUUCAAUUAUUUUAGGCAGAGCUUCUGGUUCCUGGGCCUUCAGACUUGGACUAGAACUUCACUACCAGCUUUCCUGGGUCUCCAGCUUGCAGAGAGCAGAUCGCAGAACUUCUUAGCCUCCAUAAUCACAAGAACGUGUUUGCUUCCCCUUCCACCAUGAUUGUAAGUUUCCUGAGGCCUCCCCAGUCCUGCAGAACUGCUUUGAAGAAGACCACUGCGUCGGUAUUUGUGAAAUGUUUUGAGCCUCUGGAUUUAAAUAAGAUGGAAAACCAAAGCUCAGGGAGUUUUACAUGGGCAGGCAGCUGGUGAGGGCUGAGACUGGAGCCAGGCCAGUGGUCUUCAAAGGCUUUAGUCAAACUUUUUGACAGAUAUAAGAAAACCGAACUAAGGAAAAUACUUUCCUGGGAUCAUCCCUAUAUGAAGUGGCAGACCUGGAAUUGCUCCCUGUUUCAAAACAUGUAAGCUCCUCAAGAACAGGAACUUUUGUCUGUUUGUUCAUUGUUGUAUCUCCAAUCCUUAGAACUAUGCCUGGCUCAAAGUAGGUGCUCAAUAAAAUAUCUGCUGAAUGAA
rnacentral:lncRNA from 1 species